GAUGAACGCUGGCGGCGUGCUUAACACAUGCAAGUCGAGCGAAGCAGUUAAGUUGAUUUCUUCGGAUUGAUUCUUAACUGACUGAGCGGCGGACGGGUGAGUAACGCGUGGGUGACCUGCCCCAUACCGGGGGAUAACAGCUGGAAACGGCUGCUAAUACCGCAUAAGCGCACAGAGCUGCAUGGCUCGGUGUGAAAAACUCCGGUGGUAUGGGAUGGGCCCGCGUCUGAUUAGGCAGUUGGCGGGGUAACGGCCCACCAAACCGACGAUCAGUAGCCGGCCUGAGAGGGCGACCGGCCACAUUGGGACUGAGACACGGCCCAAACUCCUACGGGAGGCAGCAGUGGGGAAUAUUGCACAAUGGGGGAAACCCUGAUGCAGCGACGCCGCGUGAGCGAAGAAGUAUUUCGGUAUGUAAAGCUCUAUCAGCAGGGAAGAUAAUGACGGUACCUGACUAAGAAGCC
rnacentral:rRNA from 1 species